AAGACCCUAUGGAGCUUUAGACACCAAGGCAGACCACGUCAAAACUCCCUAAUAAAGGACUGAACUAAGUGGACUCUGCCCUAAUGUCUUUGGUUGGGGCGACCACGGGGAAAUACAAAACCCCCGCGUGGACUGGGAGCACCACUUACUCCUACAACUAAGAGCCUCCGCUCUAAUAAGCAGAAUUUCUGACCAACAAGAUCCGGCAAUGCCGAUUAACGAACCGAGUUACCCUAGGGAUAACAGCGCAAUCCUCUUUUAGAGCCCAUAUCGACAAGGGGGUUUA
rnacentral:rRNA from 1 species